rnacentral:pre_miRNA from 1 species
AUCAUCUGGGGAUCUUGUUAAAAUGCAGAUUUAGAUUCAGUGAAUCUGGGGUGGGGCUCAAGAUUUUGCAUUUCUAACAAGCUCCCAGGUAGAGCCAG